UACGUAGGGGGCAAGCGUUGUCCGGAAUCAUUGGGCGUAAAGAGCGCGUAGGCGGCCCGGUAAGUCCGCUGUGAAAGUCGGGGGCUCAACCCUCGAAAGCCGGUGGAUACUGUCGGGCUCGAGUGCGGAAGAGGCGAGUGGAAUUCCUGGUGUAGCGGUGAAAUGCGCAGAUAUCAGGAGGAACACCGAUUGCGAAGGCAGCUCGCUGGGACGUUACUGACGCUGAGACGCGAAAGCGUGGGGAGCAAACAGG
rnacentral:rRNA from 1 species